AGCGCCUACGGGGGGCAGCAGUGAGGAAUAUUGGUCAAUGGGCGGGAGCCUGAACCAGCCAAGUCGCGUGAGGGAAGACGGUCCUAUGGAUUGUAAACCUCUUUAGGCGGGGAGCAAUGCCGGGCACGUGUGCCCGGAGGGGGAGUACCCGCAGAAUAAGCAUCGGCUAACUCCGUGCCAGGAGCCGCGGUAAUACGGAGGAUUCGAGCGUUAUCCGGAUUUAUUGGGUUUAAAGGGUGCGUAGGCGGAUGUUUAAGUCAGCGGCAAAAUGUCCGGGCUCAACCCGGGCCGGCCG
rnacentral:rRNA from 1 species